rnacentral:rRNA from 1 species
UGGGGAAUAUUGGACAAUGGGCGCAAGCCUGAUCCAGCCAUACCGCGUGGGUGAAGAAGGCCUUCGGGUUGUAAAGCCCUUUUGUUGGGAAAGAAAUCCAGCUGGUUAAUACCCGGUUGGGAUGACGGUACCCAAAGAAUAAGCACCGGCUAACUUCGUGCCAGCAGCCGCGGUAAUACGAAGGGUGCAAGCGUUACUCGGAAUUACUGGGCGUAAAGCGUGCGUAGGUGGUCGUUUAAGUCUGUUGUGAAAGCCCUGGGCUCAACCUGGGAACUGCAGUGGAAACUGGACGACUAGAGUGUGGUAGAGGGUAGCGGAAUUCCUGGUGUAGCAGUGAAAUGCGUAGAGAUCAGGAGGAACAUCCAUGGCGAAGGCAGCUACCUGGACCAACACUGACACUGAGGCACGAAAGCGUGGGGAGCAAACAGGAUUAGAUACCCUGGUAGUCCACGCCCUAAACGAUGCGAACUGGAUGUUGGGUGCAAUUUGGCACGCAGUAUCGAAGCUAACGCGUUAAGUUCGCCGCCUAGGGAGUACGGUCGCAAGACUGAAACUUAAAUGAAUUGACGGGGUCAUAGCUGUUUCCU